AGCUAUCAGAAAUUAAUGAAAGUGUUUUCGGCCUUACCUGUCUGCAGAUCCUUAGUGUUUUACCCAUGGUGGACUUGAGAGAUAGCCAAUUUGGAAACAGUGGCCUGAGCAUGUUUCUGUCUUUUGUUUCACGGGAGAAGCUAAGUGCCUUGGAUUUCAUGCCUAACGAGACGUUUUCCUCCACAGCUGCUGUGAGCUGCUGGCCAAAUCAAAGCUGAGAAACUCUUUGAAGCUCCUGAAGCCUUCUCUUCUCUCCAGAAAACAACAAAAAGUCUUGGAAUGUCAAAGUCACUGCCAGCCUGGAACAGAUCUUGCAAGCCCUGUCUUUUCUCUCAUCAUCUAGGAAUUCAGCUGAAUGAAGAAAGUCACCUGCUCCCCACCACAUUUAUCCUUGCAGUCAAAAAGACAGAAACAAAAGCAAAACUUCCAUUUAUAAGAGAAGCACCAAGGCCUCUUUAACAGUUCUGGCAUGCUGAUGUUUGAAAGAGGAUCUUGUUGUAUACUCCAGACCAUCAUAUAAUUCUUGAUCCUCCUGCUUUCAACUCAUGAGUGUGACAAGUAC